rnacentral:tRNA from 1 species
AAUAAGGUAGCUAAUUAAGCAGAUGGUCUCAUGUGCCAUAGAUACGGGUUGGUCCUGUUUCUUAUAA